rnacentral:rRNA from 1 species
UACGUAGGGUGCAAGCGUUAAUCGGAAUUAUUGGGCCUAAAGCAUCCGUAGCCGGUUCUACAAGUCUUCCGUUAAAUCCAACUGCUUAACAGGUGGGCUGCGGAAGAUACUAUAGAGCUAGGAGGCGGGAGAGGCAAGCGGUACUCGAUGGGUAGGGGUAAAAUCCGUUGAUCCAUUGAAGACCACCAGUGGCGAAGGCGGCUUGCCAGAACGCGCUCGACGGUGAGGGAUGAAAGCUGGGGGAGCAAACCGG